UUCAAAAACAACACAAGAAGCGCAAAAAGGAAAGCAAGAAGAAGAAGCACAGAAGACGUGAUAAGAAGAAAAUGAAACAUCGGCAUUAGAGCACUGUUGAUCACAACGUUUAUUACAUCAACAUUCAUGACGAUUCAUGUAA